AGUAAAAGUCGUAACAAGGUUUCCGUAGGUGAACCUGCGGAAGGAUCAUUACCGAGAGCGGGGGCCCCAUGCCCCCGGGGGCUUCGGCUCCUAAUACUUCACCCGCUGCCUCUGUCCCUUUUGUUGCUUUGGCGGGCUUUGGGGGGCGCCUCAUAUCGACCGCCGGGCCCUAGAGCCCGGGUCGGAUCGUGCCCGCCAGGGGCCCUGUUUACUCCUGUUAUUUCGUGUCGUCCGAGCACAGUUUGGUAACAAUAAAAACUUUCAACAACGGAUCUCUUGGUUCCGGCAUCGAUGAAGAACGCAGCGAAAUGCGAUAAGUAAUGUGAAUUGCAGAAUUUAGUGAAUCAUCGAAUCUUUGAACGCACAUUGCGCCCCUCGGUACUCCGGGGGGCAUACCUGUUCGAGCGUCAUUGCACCUCUCAAGCGCAGCUUGGUAUCUGAGCCCCCGCCCCGUCCGUGGCGGGCUCGAAAGUCAGGGGCCGUCCGGCGGGCCUUGGAGCGUAAUAGACCGAUAUCUCCCGCUCCGACAGGCCUCGUCUCGGCGCGCCAGAUGCUCCGUACGUCCUUCCCACGAUUGACCUCGGAUCAGGUAGGGUUACCCGCUGAACUUAAGCAUAUCAAUAAGCGGAGGAAAAGAAACCAACCGGGAUUGCCCCAGUAACGGCGAGUGA
rnacentral:sRNA from 1 species